rnacentral:tRNA from 1 species
GGAAUAGCUCAGUUGGUAGAGCAGAGGACUGAAAA